rnacentral:rRNA from 1 species
UCGAGAAUCUUCUGCAAUGGGCGCAAGCCUGACAGAGCGACGCCGCGUGCGGGAUGAAGGCCCUCGGGUUGUAAACCGCUGUCACUCGUUAAGAAAGCCUGGGGUAGGCCUCCAGGUUGACGUUAGCGAGAAAGGAAGUCACGGCUAACUUCGUGCCAGCAGCCGCGGUAAGACGAAGGUGACGACCGUUGCUCGGAAUCACUGGGCAUAAAGCGCGCGUAGGUGGCUUGGUAAGUCCAUGGUGAAAUCCCUCGGCUCAACCGAGGAACUGCCGUGGAUACUGCCGAGCUUGAGUACGGGAGGGGUAAGUGGAACUCUCGGUGUAGCGGUGAAAUGCGUAGAUAUCGAGAGGAACGCCGGUGGCGAAAGCGACUUACUGGACCGUAACUGACACUGAUGCGCGAAAGCUAGGGGAGCAAACAGGAUUAGAUACCCGCGUAGUCC